rnacentral:snoRNA from 1 species
AGGCCGUGAUGGGGACACUUGCGUAAUAGCUCCUUGAACCUUUCCCAAGUUUCAUAUAAGGAUUCCCCUUCCUCUUGUGAGUAUGUAUUAAUUUCAGUCAUUAACUU